rnacentral:rRNA from 1 species
AUUGAACGCUGGCGGCAGGCCUAACACAUGCAAGUCGAGCGAGCGGCGGGCGGGUGAGUAAAGUAUGGGGACUGCUGGAUAGAGGGGGAUAACUACUGGAAACGGUAGCUAAUAACGCAUACUCUCUGAUAACCCAUAUGGGAUUAGCUAGUAGGUGGGGUAAUGGCUCACCUAGGCGACGAUCCCUACCUGGGCUGCGCGGAUGAUCAGCCAAACUGGACCUGGGACACGGCCAAGACUCCGAGGGAGGAACCAGUGGGGAAUAUUGCACAAUGAGGGAAAGCAGGAUAGAGACAUGCCGCGGAGAUGAAGAAGGCCUUAGGGUUGUAAAGGACUGUCAGUCGGGAGACGUUACCGAAAGAAGAAGCAACGGCUAACUCCGUGCCAGCAGCCGCGGUAAUAC